rnacentral:hammerhead_ribozyme from 1 species
GCACUGCUGAUGAGUCCCAAACAGGAUGAAACAGCUGUCCAGUGC